GAUGAACGCUGGCGGCGUGCCUAAUACAUGCAAGUCGAGCGAACAGACGAGGAGCUUGCUCCUCUGACGUUAGCGGCGGACGGGUGAGUAACACGUGGAUAACCUACCUAUAAGACUGGGAUAACUUCGGGAAACCGGAGCUAAUACCGGAUAAUAUAUUGAACCGCAUGGUUCAAUAGUGAAAGACGGUUUUGCUGUCACUUAUAGAUGUAUCCGCGCCGCAUUAGCUAGUUGGUAAGGUAACGGCUUACCAAGGCAACGAUGCGUAGCCGACCUGAGAGGGUGAUCGGCCACACUGGAACUGAGACACGGUCCAGACUCCUACGGGAGGCAGCAGUAGGGAAUCUUACGCAAUGGGCGAAAGCCUGACGGAGCAACGCCGCGUGAGUGAUGAAGGUCUUCGGAUCGUAAAACUCUGUUAUUAGGGAAGAACAAAUGUGUAAGUAACUAUGCACGUCUUGACGGUACCUAAUCAGAAAGCCACGGCUAACUACGUG
rnacentral:rRNA from 1 species